AGGCGCACCUGGUGCAGAUCGUCAGAGCGCGCACUGGAGAGCAGUGGGCAGAAGCACUGCACUUUAAAACAGACUGCUGGAUGGAGUAGAUCGGUGGUGCAGAGGACAAUCUAAAAGAAACCGAAGAGGCAGCCGAAGCUCCUCUCAGAUUCAGACCUCAUCACCACUGACUACAUGGAGGACUCAUCCUGUGUGCUCCGUUUUCAUCCACUCUCAGUGCACUUCUUUGUCUUCAUAUUGGAGGAUAUCUCUUCAGUCAUUUGUAGAACAUGCAUUAAUAUAAAAUCUCAUUGUUGGCAAGGAAGUGACACUUGUCUGAUAAGUGCAUCAUAACUGAACGAUAAUAUAAAGCACUGAUCUUCUCAUGUGUCUGUAUCACACUCUGACUCACCUAACUUAAAUGUCCUUUAAACUUAUUUUCACUCA